GCUACACAUGCAAGUCGAGGGGUAACAGAGAGAAGCUUGCUUCUUUGCUGACGACCGGCGCACGGGUGCGUAACGCGUAUACAAUCUACCUUUUGCUGAGGGAUAGCCCAGAGAAAUUUGGAUUAAUACCUCAUAGUAUAUAUGAAUCACAUGGUUUAUAUAUUAAAGGUUACGGCAGAAGAUGAGUAUGCGUUCUAUUAGCUAGAUGGUGUGGUAACGGCACACCAUGGCAACGAUAGAUAGGGGCCCUGAGAGGGGGAUCCCCCACACUGGUACUGAGACACGGACCAGACUCCUACGGGAGGCAGCAGUGAGGAAUAUUGGACAAUGGGCGAGAGCCUGAUCCAGCCAUGCCGCGUGCAGGAAGACUGCCCUAUGGGUUGUAAACUGCUUUUAUACAGGAAGAAACACUCCCUCGUGAGGGAGCUUGACGGUACUGUAAGAAUAAGGAUCGGCUAACUCCGUGCCAGCAGCCGCGGUAAUACGGAGGAUCCAAGCGUUAUCCGGAAUCAUUGGGUUUAAAGGGUCCGUAGGUGGAUAAUUAAGUCAGAGGUGAAAGUCUGCAGCUCAACUGUAGAAUUGCCUUUGAUACUGGUUAUCUUGAAUUAUUAUGAAGUAGUUAGAAUAUGUAGUGUAGCGGUGAAAUGCAUAGAUAUUACAUAGAAUACCAAUUGCGAAGGCAGAUUACUAAUAAUAUAUUGACACUGAUGGACGAAAGCGUGGGGAGCGAACAGGAUUAGAUACCCUGGUAGUCCACGCCGUAAACGAUGGAUACUAGCUGCUACACAUGGCUACACAUGGCUACACAUGGUGA
rnacentral:rRNA from 1 species